CUUCACUCAUUGUGCGCCUUUAAAAGGAGUGGCCGACCUGCUUCUCGAAGAAUCUCCUCCUUCUUCUUCAGAUCGGCCAUGGGGAGGAGGAAGACGGAGAUGAAGCGGAUCGAGAACGCGGCGAGACGGAAGGUGACCUUCUCUAAGCGGCGCAGCAGCUUGCUCAAGAAGGCCUACGAGCUCUCCGUGCUUUGCGACGUGGAGGUCGGGCUCAUCGUCUUCUCUUCCCUGGGCAAGCUUUACGAGUUCUCCAGCUCCAGCAUACAAAGUACCGUCGCACGAUAUACAGAACGUUCAAGAGGAGAUACUAGUGACUCAAUAAUGGAGCAAAUUGUUCAGUUUUAUCGAGUGCAGCAAAGAAAAAUGGAAGCAGACUACUUGUCGAGCUUUUCAAAAACAAUGGAGCAACUUGAAACCUCUAAAAAGCAGUUGCUCGGCGUGGAACUAGAGUCAUGCUCGUUCAACGAGCUGCAUGGUCUAGAAGGUAACAUUGAGCAGAGCUUGCAAAGGAUCAGAAAAAGGAAGUAUCAAGUGAUAGAAGAGCAGAUUUCGCAGCUAAAAGAGAAGGAGACAUCCUUCUUAAAGGAGAAUGAAUCACUAUGCCAAAAGCGCAAACUAUUUCCUCAGUUGCCAGCUAGUGCUUCCAAGGAAGUGCCACGCUGCCCUAGUCAUCAAGCCACCAGCACGCACAGCAAUUACAAUGAGGUGGAGACAGAGCUACGCAUUGGAUUUCCAGACAGAGGAGCCAUGGCUUCUUCGCCAUCUACGAAGAAGGGCUAGUUACUCCAGUCAUUCUUUCAGAUCACCUUCCAAUUACUUGCAGCAUAGAUUUUGUCACAUUUAUACAAAUAAUUAGCAGGCAUCGCAUGGAAGGCAAUUCACUGCCUCUUAUCAAUCGCCAGGGACCAACAAGCGGUAUCAGAGCCCAAUCACUUUAGAAGGACUAAUUACCGACCAAAGCAUAGAAGACGAUGGUCGAACCGAGCAUCUACUUUCUUAAGUUCGAGGGGGAGUUUGCGACUUGGAGAAAGAAAAUGGAGUUAUUCUUCAAAACAAAUUUUGAAUUAUUAGUAAUUAUGAAGUAUGAUUUUAUAGCACUAAAGGAUCAGCAAGGGAACUUCAAAGAAGAACAUCAAUGGACUAAAAAAAAGCAAGCUGACUUCGUAGCAAACGACAAGACAUAUUUUCAUCUGCUGAGCAUUUUACCGUCACAAGAAGUCAACCGGAUCAGAGCCUACGAGUUAGCUAAGGAGCUCUGAGAAAAAUUCUUGGAACUACACGAAAGAACCUCGGAGGUAAAACUCGUGAGACGAGAUCUGCUCUGGAAUCAUAUCAGCAACCUCCGGUUAGAAGAAGGCGAAACCGUCGUACACCUCCACUUGAGGAUCAAAGAACUCAUCAUCGGACUUAUGAAUUCAGAGAAAUGGUAACUAAUCGAAAUUCGCUAAGGUAUGUGCUUAACGCUUUCCCUAGAACAUCUGAAUGAUCAACCCUAGUAGAUGCAUAUUACAUCUCUAGGGACCUAAAGGUAAGUACUUUAGAGGAAUUAUUUUCUAUAUUUGAAGUACAUGAAAUUAGAUGUACAGAUUUGAAAAAGGAGCACAAGCACAACAUUACCUUAAGGAAAAAAUGGAUAAAUCGGAUUCUGAAACAACCCUCGACAAUGAUGAAACGACGAUUAUGGUAAGAAAAUUCAAAAAGUUUUUUUAGAACUAAUAAAGUCAAUCAAGUGCAGGUCAAAAGAAGGAAAAGAAAGGUGAGAUGCUAUCAAUGCAAUGAAGAAGGGCACAUCAAAGAUAACUACCCAAAAUUAAAGAACAAAGAAAAGGACAAGAAGCUGACCUGGAUAAGGACUGAAAUCUAAAGGCGAUGUGGGAUGAAACGUCUUUAGAAUCGAAGAUAGAAGCCCACGUCGGACUUGCGCUAAUGGCAAGUCACCAAGAAGAAGACGAAGAAAACUUAUCCGAAAUGACCAUCGAGAGUAUCGAUAAAUGGGGAGCAAUCUCAGAAGGAAAUAGCACUACAGGGGGAGCAUCAGAUAAUGAGAUCGACAAG